rnacentral:tRNA from 1 species
UUAUUUGUAGUAUAAAAAGUACACUGUGUUUUCAACCCAGUAGUGCCUAAGGCCAAGUAAU